rnacentral:rRNA from 1 species
ACGAACGCUGGCGGCGUGCUUCACACAUGCAAGUCGCACGGAAAGGCCCUGCUUUUGUGGGGUGCUCGAGUGGCGAACGGGUGAGUAACACGUGAGUAACCUGCCCUUGACUUUGGGAUAACUUCAGGAAACUGGGGCUAAUACCGGAUAGGAGCUCCUGCCGCAUGGUGGGGGUUGGAAAGUUUCGGCGGUUGGGGAUGGACUCGCGGCUUAUCAGCUUGUUGGUGGGGUAGUGGCUUACCAAGGCUUUGACGGGUAGCCGGCCUGAGAGGGUGACCGGCCACAUUGGGACUGAGAUACGGCCCAGACUCCUACGGGAGGCAGCAGUGGGGAAUAUUGCACAAUGGGCGGAAGCCUGAUGCAGCAACGCCGCGUGCGGGAUGACGGCCUUCGGGUUGUAAACCGCUUUCGCCUGUGACGAAGCGUGAGUGACGGUAAUGGGUAAAGAAGCACCGGCUAACUACGUG